rnacentral:rRNA from 1 species
UACGUAGGGUCCGAGCGUUGUCCGGAAUUACUGGGCGUAAAGAGCUCGUAGGUGGUUUGUCGCGUUGUUCGUGAAAACUCACAGCUCAACUGUGGGCGUGCGGGCGAUACGGGCAGACUAGAGUACUGCAGGGGAGACUGGAAUUCCUGGUGUAGCGGUGAAAUGCGCAGAUAUCAGGAGGAACACCGGUGGCGAAGGCGGAUCUCUGGGCCGUAACUGACGCUGGAGGAGCGGAAAGCAUGGGGAGCGAACAGG